rnacentral:lncRNA from 1 species
UGGAGUCUGAUGACCAAGGGCAGGAAGCAUCCAGCACGGGACAAAGAAGAAAGCCAGAAGACUCAGCAAGCCAGCUCAUCUCACUUUCUUCUGCCUACUUUGUUGUAGCUGAGCUGGCAGCCAGUUGGAUGGUGCACACUCACAUUGAGGAUUGGGAGGCUGCUGUGUAUGGAUAAGAUACCUGCUACAGCCAGCUUGACACCAUGAGAAGGACAAGAGAAUUGCAGAGACACAUAUCCAGGAUUCUGAUCCAGUUGAGGCACUGAAAUAAUCUAGAACCACCUUCAAAUUUCUUAUAAAGAGAGCUAUGCUAUUAGGAUUUAAUUAAAUGGAUGCCAACAGCAAGUAAACCAUCUCCAAAGAUGCCAUGAAGCUCUCCUAAUUGCAGGAAAAUAUCAGAGGCACUUGAUUUGAGUCUUUCAAGUACGGAAAUAACAAAUUCAGUCUCAACAGACCUAUAGUGAAUGAGAAUGAUUGUCACAUAAUGUGUAGAGAAAAUGGAAGAAUCAAAGGCAAGGGAAACCUGUACAGUGGAGACACAAAGGGUCACUGGCAGAUUUCAAAUGAUCCAAGACAUCCUCAAGGAAGAUUUACCACAAGUUACUUUAUCAUAGCUUUGAGUGGCAUUUUAAUAUCAUAUUUUAAAAGAAAGAAAACAAUAGAAAUGUAUUAAAAUAUCUUCUCAAGAAUCCUUCCAAACCACAAGGAAAAUCACCAGGCCAAAAGUGAGGUUUGAAGUCUGGACAUGUACUGGUUUUCUCUAGCAAUCGACUCUCAAUUUUUGGACAUUGAGAUCUGCUGGUUGGAGAUCUUAGUGCCCAAGGAAGAAUGCUUGCAAAAGGAGAUGGAACAGUGUUUCUGUUGCAUUGGCCACUGAGAAUAUCUGGUUAUUUUGAAUUUGUCACAGUCUGCAGCUAAAAGGCGAACAGGAAAAGAAGAGCAGGAAUUCACUGAAUGUCUAUCUAUCAUGUAUGCUGUUGGAGGCACCUGUCUUUCAGUUCAGAGGUUAUGGAUGUAUCUAUCAUCAGUAUUUCGGGAAGUCAGGGACCCGGAACAGAGGGACUUAAUGAAGCUGUGGCAGAAGAAAAAAUUAUGAAGAUUUCAUGGACAUUUAUUAGUUCCCCAAAUUAAUACUUUUAUAAUUUCUUACA